AAUGACUAAACUCAAACUCAAUAUGAGAAACUCAAAAAAUGUUGAAAUUUUAAAUAAAUAUGGGCAAAAAUAUGUAAAAUAUAUUGCAAAACUAUCGCAGAUAUACAGAUUACAUUGAAAUACUAUUGCACAUACAAUGCAGAAUAGUUUACGGAAAUAUAACAAAUUCAAAAUAAGUUGAAGUUUUAAUGUUUACAUGAAAUAAUCCACAAAAAUCGUUGAAAAUUAAGCAAAAAUUGAUCAAAAAUGCACAAAAAUAAAAAGUUUUUAUUAAGCUAUUGCCCGAUUUAAAAAAAAUGAAAAAUCAUGUGUAAAAACACUUACAUAUAUUACAGAAGGAAUCCGUUAAAAAUUUUUACAAUGUAUUUUGUUAAUAAAACCGCAUAUUAAAAUUAACUUUUGGUAAUAUAACAAAAACUAUUAAGAAGAACACUUAGAAGAAUCAUACAUAUAUAUAAAUUUAUUAAUAUAAAUAUCAAUACAAAUUUAUUUUAACACACAUAUUGCAAAUGAAGUAAGAAACAAAGCAAAUCGAUAAUAAAUAUAACUUUAGAAUAAAAGUAAUAAAAAACAAAAUAGCAGAAUAUAAAUAAAUAUUUACAUAAUAGUACUAAUUAUAACGGGAGAUAAUAAAGCGAAGAAUGAACUAAGAGAAUGGCAUAGUAGAUUAAUAUGCGGAAAAAUAUACAAUAUAUAAUGUUGUAUGUAUGAUUGCAAUAAGUUAAAAUAUGUAAAAUAAGAAAAUUCGAAUUGAUGUUGUGUAGUUGAAAAAUUAAAUAACAAACCUUAAAAAAACAAAAAAAUUAACUGGAUAUAGUUUGAUGUUAAAGAAAAAUUUCAAUCACUUUUUAUUACAAAUUUUAUUUGAAACAUAUAAAUUUUUUGAAGGAAAAAUAAAAAAAAGAGUUUAUUCUAAUAAUAAGAUGUAAAACAAAUAAUUAAACAAAUUAGAAGCGGAAUAUUGGAAAAAAGAAUAAAAUUCAAAAAUAGUAAUAUUUAACUAAACUGAAAGAAUAUAAUUUUUAAUUCGAAAAAAGAAAACAUAUAUAGAAAAUAUACACAGAAAAUAUUUUGUUUUAAAUUGACAUUAAAAAUUAUUAACUACUAUUGGUGUCAUCAUGAAGAAAUUUACAUUCAAAGGGGUACUUGAUGGUUUUCGGUCACAGGUUCAACAGCAGUCCACAAAACCAGAACAAGAAAUUCAAGAGACACUGAGACAGGAUCAUUUUUCAUUAAAAAAG